AAGAAUUAAAUGGAUGAAAUAUGAAGUUUUAUUAAAAGAAAAAUGGGGUGAAAAGAACAAAGUUUUGUCCAUCUUUGUUCAUCAUAGCUAAAAGUUAGAGAAGAGAAAGGAGAGGAGAAAGCUCUUGAGUAUUUGGUCAUUAGGAGGAGGAAAAUUGAAGGCGGUUCGUGUGUGGAUCUCGUCAACAUAUCGUCGCAAACAGGUAAUCCCCAACCAUAGUGGCCUUGGAGCUGUGAGGGAAUUCGGAGUGGCCACCCGUUCUGAAAGUUUGAUUUUCUUCUGGUGAACUGGACAUCCUUUUAAUUACGUUUGAGAUUUUGGGCUUUUAAAUGUAACAAGGCCGCUUAUUUAUUUUUGAUGGUUUUUAAUAUGUAUUACUAAGAUAGAUAAUACUUAUUUUAACUGUUGAAAUUGGAUAGCUUUAGGGCGCGUUUUCAAAAACAACAGUUGAUUUCAAAAUAACAUGACAACAAGCAAAGCUUCCGCAAUGAAA